rnacentral:lncRNA from 1 species
AAAUCUAGUCAAGGGUUGGACAAGAAAGAAGAUCAAGAGAUCUGAUCUUUUAUUUUCUUCUAUAGAUCUUGAAUUUUCUCUUGAGAAGAGAAAAGUGGUAAAAAUAAUCUGAUUUGAUCUGAUUUCAAGUUCCUCCGAUAGAUCUAUUUGAUUUUUUUGAGAAGAGAAUCAAAAGAUCGAACCAAUUCGACAAUCUAGAAAGCAAUCUCUGCAAGGGAGCUACCACCUUGCUGAGAAUGAGACUCCUGAUCAGAUCAACCUCGGUGGAUACCCAUAGAGAUCAGAUAUGUAUGCAGCUACACUGAAACCUCGAAGACAUCCUCAGAUCAUCGGAUCAUCGGAUCGCGGUGA